rnacentral:rRNA from 1 species
AAUGAACGUUGGCGGCGUGGAUUAGGCAUGCAAGUCGAGCGAGAACCCCGCAAGGGGGGACAGCGGCGAAAGGGACAGUAAUGUGUAGAUUAUCUGCCCUCAGGUCCGGGAUAGCUGCGGGAAACUGCAGGUAAUACCGGAUAACAUCUCCGGAUCAAAGGUGUGAUUCCACCUGAGGAUGAGUCUGCAUCCUAUUAGCUAGUUGGUGGGGUAAUGGCCUACCAAGGCAUUGAUGGGUAGCAGGUGUGAGAGCACGACCUGCGUCAUUGGGACUGAGACACUGCCCAGACACCUACGGGUGGCUGCAGUCGAGAAUCUUCGGCAAUGGGCGCAAGCCUGACCGAGCGACGCCGCGUGUGGGAUGAAGGCCUUCGGGUUGUAAACCACUGUCAGAGGGGAUGAAAUGCAGGUGGGUUCUCCCAUCUGUUUGACAUAGCCUCAGAGGAAGGACGGGCUAAGUUCGUG